rnacentral:rRNA from 1 species
CUAUUGAGCGCCUUAGGGAGGUGAGAGAGGCCUGACCCCCACGAUGACUGAGAAACGUCAUAACUACCGGUGCGGCAGUCGAGAAUCUCGCAUGACGAAAGUCUGACCGGAGGCGACGCGCGUGAUGAUGAGUCCUUUGGGACGUAAACAUCUUUUAUGAGGGAGGAGUUUAUGACGUACUCAUGAAUAAGGGGCUCCUAAUCUCGUGCAGCAGGAGCGGUAAUACGAGAGCCCCGAGCGUUAUCCGGGAUUUAUUGGGCGUAAAGGGUGCGCAGGCGGUCAUAUUAGUCUCAUGUUAAAUCUCCCGGCUCAACCGGGAACAAGCGUGGGAAACGGUAUGACUAGAGGAUGUAAGAGGUGUGCGGAACUCUUGGUGUAGGGGUGAAAUCCGUUGAUAUCAAGGGGAACACCAAAUGCGAAGGCAGCACACUGGUACAUUUCUGACGCUCAGGCACGAAAGCGUGGGUAGCGAAUGGGAUUAGAUACCCCAGUAGUCCAUGCCCUAAACGAUGUUCUCUUGUUUUUGGGAGUAUCGACCCUCUCAGAGACGAAGCUAACGCGAUAAGAGAACCGCCUGGGGAGUACGGCCGCAAGGCUAAAACUCAAAGGAAUAGACGGGGACUUGCACAAGCGGUGGAUCAUGUGGUUUAAUUCGACGAUAAACGAAGAACCUUACCAGGGUUUGAAACCGUGACGACAUCCCGAAGAAACUUGGGACUCCCGCAAGGGCGGCACGGCAGGUGAUGCAUGGUCGUCGUCAGUUCGUGGCUUGAGCUGUUCCCUUAAGUGGGCAAACGAACGCAACCCUCGUUGUCUGUUUUAUAUGUCAGGCAAGACUGCCCCCUCUGUGCGCACAAAGUUAUACUUUGUGAAUACAGAGGGGGGAGGAAGGAGAGGAUGACGCCAGAUCAGCAUGUCCCUCUGAUACCCUGGGCCACACACGUGAUACAAUGGUUGGUACAAUAGGCUGCGACAGGGUAACCUUGAGCUAAUCCUAAAAACCAACCUCAGUUCGGAUUGAGGUCUGAAACUCGACCUCAUGAAGCUGGAAUCGCUAGUAAUCGCGGGUCAGCCAUACCGCGGUGAAUACGUUCUCAAGUCUUGUACUCACCGCCCGUCAAUGCAAGGGAGCUGGUAGUACCCGAAGUUCUGUUUUAUACAGACCUACGGUAAGAUCAGUGACAAGGCAUAAGUCGUAACAAGGUAACCG